UGAUAAAGAAAGGAAUUAAACCAAUGUAUACAGGACUACAGCCUGCCGCCUAACACUCGGCCACUUUACCU
rnacentral:tRNA from 1 species